GGCCAGACUCCUAGGGAGGCAGCAGUGGGGAAUAUUGCACAAUGGGGGGAACCCUGAUGCAGCGAUGCCGCGUGGAGGAAGAAGGUUUUCGGAUUGUAAACUCCUUUUAUCAGGGACGAUAAUGACGGUACCUGAAGAAAAAGCUCCGGCUAACUACGUGCCAGCAGCCGCGGUAAUACGUAGGGGGCAAGCGUUAUCCGGAUUUACUGGGUGUAAAGGGAGCGUAGACGGCAGCGCAAGUCUGGAGUGAAAUGCCGGGGCCCAACCCCGGAACUGCUCUGGAAACUGUGAAGCUGGAGUGCAGGAGAGGUAAGCGGAAUUCCUGGUGUAGCGGUGAAAUGCGUAGAUAUCAGGAGGAACACCGGCGGCGAAGGCGGCCUACUGGACUGUAACUGACGUUGAGGCUCGAAGGCGUGGGGAGCAAACAGGAUUAGAUACCCCGGUAC
rnacentral:rRNA from 1 species